CUACGGAGGGUGCAAGCGUUACUCGGAAUCACUGGGCGUAAAGGACGCGUAGGCGGGUUGGCAAGUCAGAUGUGAAAUCCUACAGCUUAACUGUAGAACUGCAUUUGAAACUGCUAACCUAGAGUAUGGGAGGGGGAGAUGGAAUUAGUGGUGUAGGGGUAAAAUCCGUAGAUAUCACUAGGAAUACCGAAAGCGAAGGCGAUCUCCUGGAACAUAACUGACGCUAAGGCGUGAAAGCGUGGGGAGCAAACAGGAUUAGAAACCCUAGUAGUCC
rnacentral:rRNA from 1 species